UGGGGAAUAUUGGACAAUGGGGGAAACCCUGAUCCAGCAAUGCCGCGUGAGUGAAGAAGGCCUUAGGGUUGUAAAGCUCUUUCGCCCGCGAAGAUAAUGACGGUAGCGGGAGAAGAAGCCCCGGCUAACUUCGUGCCAGCAGCCGCGGUAAUACGAAGGGGGCUAGCGUUGUUCGGAAUUACUGGGCGUAAAGCGCACGUAGGCGGAUUGUUAAGUCGGGGGUGAAAUCCCGGGGCUCAACCCCGGAACUGCCUUCGAUACUGGCAAUCUAGAGUCCGGAAGAGGUGAGUGGAAUUCCGAGUGUAGAGGUGAAAUUCGUAGAUAUUCGGAGGAACACCAGUGGCGAAGGCGGCUCACUGGUCCGGUACUGACGCUGAGGUGCGAAAGCGUGGGGAGCAAACA
rnacentral:rRNA from 1 species